rnacentral:rRNA from 1 species
GUCGAGAAGCUUCGGCAAUGGGCGAAAGCCUGACCGAGCGACGCCGCGUGAGCGAUGAAGGCCCUUGUGGUUGUAAAGCUCUGUCAGAGGGGAUUAACACGGAGCGACGAAUAGUCUCUCCGUCUGAAAGUACCCUCAAAGGAAGCUCCGGCUAACUCCGUGCCAGCAGCCGCGGUAAUACGGAGGGAGCGAACGUUGUUCGGAAUUACUGGGUGUAAAGGGUGCGUAGGCGGCCUUGUAUGUCGGAGGUGAAAUCUACCGGCUCAACCGGUCAAAUUGCCUCCGAAACUGCUUGGCUUGAGUCCGGAAGGGGAGGGUGGAAUUCCUGGUGUAACGGUGAAAUGUGCAGAUAUCAGGAGGAACACCGGUGGCGAAGGCGGCCCUCUGGUCCGGUACUGACGCUGAGGCACGAAAGCCAGGGGAUCAAACGGGAUUAGAUACCCCGGUAGUCC